rnacentral:rRNA from 1 species
GAGUUUGAUCCUGGCUCAGGACGAACGCUGGCGGCGUGCCUAACACAUGCAAGUCGAACGGGGUCCAUGGGAGCUUGCUCCCGGAAGACCUAGUGGCGAACGGGUGAGUAACACGUGAGAAACCUGCCUCGGAGUGGGGAAUAACUCGGGGAAACCCGAGCUAAUACCGCAUACCCUCGGAUGAUCGCAUGAUUGACCGAGGAAAGAAUUUCGCUCUGAGAGGGUCUCGCGGCCUAUCAGCUAGUUGGUGGGGUAACGGCCUACCAAGGCAGCGACGGGUAGCUGGUUUGAGAGAACGAUCAGCCACACUGGGACUGAGACACGGCCCAGACUCCUACGGGAGGCAGCAGUGGGGAAUCUUGCGCAAUGGGCGAAAGCCUGACGCAGCAACGCCGCGUGCGGGAUGACGGCCUUCGUGGUUGUAAACCGCUUUCAGCAGGGACGAAAGUGACGGUACCUGCAGAAGAAGCCCCGGCUAACUACGUGCCAGCAGCCGCGGUAAUACGUAGGGGGCAAGCGUUGUCCGGAUUCAUUGGGCGUAAAGAGCUCGUAGGCGGUUCAGUAAGUCAGGUGUGAAAGCUCCGAGCUCAACUCGGAGACGCCACUUGAUACUGCUGUGACUAGAAUCCAGUAGGGGAGCGCGGAAUUCCCGA